UAUGUAUGUAGCAGGAAGAAGCCUGCCUCAAUAUUCAAAACACCUGGCCCCUAAUCACCUCAUGAUGGGUGGAGAGUAUAUAGGGAGACUCUCUCACCUGGUUGCUUAUGCUAGCAUUUGCUCACGCAUCGCUGGGAAGGUUGCUUGGGUAGCGUGCAGGUCUUACACUCUAACAUCAGUAAGUAAUGUUUCUCCUUCUGCAUAAGAUCUACAAAUUCAGUGUUUGACUUGAAUUGUUAAAAUCUAGAAACCACUGGAAGUCUCCUGCUUGGUACUGGGGUGUGGCUGUAAUUCACCCUCCCCAGUGCAGUUUUCACAUAAAACGGAACAUAUUGGAAAGCUGAUCCUCCUGCUGUGGGCCGGAAAGGAUCCUCUGGUUUGAGGUGAAGUCAUCCAGCUCUGGCUGAGAGCUGAAGGUAGUGGGAGGGGCCUCCUGGGAGACUGGAACUGUGUGUCGUGCGAGUGCCCGGUGUUGGGAUUUCUUCACGAUUGAAUGCCUGUUCACAAGUGUUUGGGGUGAUUUAUUUUGGAUUUAUACAUUUGUUAGGAACCAGUUCCCAUUUGGACCGCCCUCCCCCUGCUGGUAG